rnacentral:misc_RNA from 1 species
GAUGAAGAACGUAGCGAAAUGCGAUAAGUAAUGUGAAUUGCAGAAUUCAGUGAAUCAUCGAAUCUUUGAACGCACAUUGCGCCCCCUGGUAUUCCGGGGGGCAUGCCUGUCCGAGCGUCAUUACAACCCUCAAGCUCAGCUUGGUGUUGGGCCCCGCCGCCCCGGCGGGCCCUAAAGUCAGUGGCGGUGCCGUCCGGCUCCGAGCGUAGUAAUUCUUCUCGCUCUGGAGGUCCGGUCGUGUGCUCGCCAGCAACCCCCAAUUUUUUUCAGGUUGACCUCGGAUCAGGUAGGGAUACCCGAUGAACUUAAGCAUCUCAAUAAGCGGAGGA